CCUGAUCCUCCGCCAUCCCAGGCAGAAAUGUUCAGCCAAAAGCUGCAGCAGAAUGAAAUCUGUGAGACAACAGAAUCAGCAAAGCAAAACCAGGGUAACGAGCUCAGAAGAAAGUCCUGAUGAGACUGCCUUCUAGGAAGCACAUUCAGGUCGAUUAUACAGGGAAGCUAUCCAUCAUCAGCUGAAGAGAUGAAUAAUGGAUUCUUUUUCAUGACAGGUAGAUGUUUUUCCUAGAAAUAAGAUGACUGCCUUUGAAGCAGACAAAACAUUACUGUAUCAUUUUAUUUGCUCCUUGGAAAUACGAGUGAUAGAUUGAGGCAAGGCAGAUAAUAUUAAAAGAAAAGGCAAGUGAAGGAGUGAGCAUUACUAGGUGUUGAUCAGAAAUUCACUAAGAGAAUAAAUACAGCAAAAACAAAUUAGGCUAAGAUACUGUCCAAAUGAGGAACAAAUUCAAACAAACCACAUGUACAGAGCUGAUGUGUUUUAAUGUGAUUAAUGCUAAAAAAAAAAAUGUACCUUUUCAACAAAAUAGGGAGUUGUAUCAAAGUGAGCCUCUAAAGAGUGAAAUAAUUUCAACAAAAAGCAGACGUACAUGUAAUAAAUGAGCUGUUUUCUGAAUUGUUAGACUUUUGUUGGGUAGAGAAAACAACAUGACCUUUGAUGCAGCCUAAGUGUGUGUCAGUUGUAGGUGGAACUGAGGCUAGAGAAGAAAAGAAUUGUGAUGUGCUACAGUUAAACUGGAUGUUGCUUCUGCACAACAAAUUUUAGCAAAGGCAUGUGUUGUAGAAGUAGCUUAAUUAUAUAUUAAUAUAUAUAUCACAUUAUUUCCAUGGAUUGUUGCCUACUUGCCAUUGAACAGUGAGUGGAGGAUGAGCAGAAGGAAUCAUUUAGCUGAUACUCUGAGUGCCCUCAGCUGUAUAAGAGGCAGCUUAUACAGCUGGGAUUGGGUGGGUACAGCUGUGGAAAAUGGUUGCUUGAGUGAGGGUAGGGGAAAAUUGGGUUGGUGUUGUGGUUUUCUGAACUAAGUGUAGUGCUCUUGGUUAAUUGAUAAUGUUAUGUAUGUCUCUACUGUGUUAAAUAUAGACUACAAAGUUGCUACAGAGGGGUAUCACGUUAGCACAACAGUGUCUUGCUUUGCAGGCUAUGUGAUCUAACUGCAGUUUUUCUCUAGUGUGUCUUGUGCCUUUGUUACUGCCUACAAUCUGAUAGCCCAGCAGUGGAAGUGUGCUAUUUCAUGUGCAGUGUACCAGCUGGGUGCAGGGAAUCACUGCUAAUAUAUCUAGGAAUUCUUGUGCCUUGUCAGUGUCUGUCAAUCUUAAAAAUGACAAGGGGCUUUAUUGUAACUGUACAUUAUCUAACCCCAUCUCAAAUCUGCAUUUUGCUCAGUCUUCCCUGUAGAGGGAGGAAUAAAAGGGCUAAAUGUAGUACAAGGGGUACAGCUGUGAAUGAAUGUACAGAACAGACUUCUUCAAUUUCCUGCAUGCUGCAGAAAACCUUCUAUUUACUAUUUUUCCUUCCUGACCAUGCAUGAACUUUGUUGUCUUGUAAGCCAUUUUCACAGGCUAGCAUAUCCACCCUUGUCAGUGAAGGAGCUGUAGGCAGGCCUUUCCUUCCCAUUACAGUCCCUUGAACCAUGCAGCUGAGUCUUUUCUGUUGUGGGUCUCUCUAGCAUCAGCUUCUUGAGAGCAGAAUGUUCUUGAGGCAUUUCUGUUCUACUUUUCUUACUGAGAAAUUUGGUCCAUGACUGAGUAACGUUCCUAGAAAUUUAGGGGUUUUUCCUUUUUUUUUUUUCCUUAUUGAUGUUGGGCAGCUGUUAACUGUGUGACUCAGGAGCUGAGAACUGCAGGACUGACCUUCAAGUGGAAGAGAUGAAUUCUUUAAUGGCAGCAAUGACAAAAAGCGUCUUCUCGCAUGCUGUGGGAUUCUGUCUCCAGAAACAAGGGAAGGCAAGUCCUGUUCUAACUCUUGUUCUAAGCACCUUAAAACUGUAGAUAAAAUCAGCCUAGGGACUUUCUUAGCUGGCUGCAUAAAGUCCUACAGAUAGGUUGUUUUGUAUUCAUCUUUCAAAGUUAGUGGUUAGUGGACUGAGUAAUAUUGGAGUGUUACAACUGAAUAUCUAAUGCAUAAAGAGAAAAGAGAUAUAUGAGGUCAGUAAUUGCAUGUGCACUUGUACAGACAAUGCUAAUGUGGGAAGACACAUUCUGCUUGGUCACUUCACAUCAAGAAGAUAUAAGAAUAAAUACAGUCACCCCCCAAAAAAAUUAAACUCAACAUCUUCAGAGCUAUCUAGCACAACACAAAUGCUCUUAUUCAAUAGGCUGAAAUUUUCACUAUUUUGUGCCUGGAUUCUAUUUAGAAACCAUGAGAAAGCAUCUGUGUCUUGCAACCAUAGAGACAGAGGAAGCAUCUGAAGGAAAUGAGUAUUUCCUAUACUAUGUUCAAAGUUCAUUUUAUUAUUGGUUAUCUCUUGAAACAAGCUGUGGAUGCACUGGAAGCUAAAUAUUUUAGAGGCUUGCUGAUAGCUCUGUGAUCAUCUUGUAUUCAAUCUUCAUUAUCACAGAAUGUUUCUGCAGAACACUUGUAUGGAAAAAAAAAAUAAUUAUUCAACUAAAGUAACUGUUUAUCAAUGUAUGAAAAGAACUGUGGCUUGGUGUUUUAACAAAAUCCUCUUCCUGAUCAAUGACAAUACUUGCCUUUACGCUAAAGGUAUGCAGCCUAUGAGGGAGGAACUUGGCAGUGGGACAGGAAGAGUUGACAUUGUAGCUUGAUCAUUCAAAUAGCAAAAUGGUGAGACUGGGAUGCUGGCUUGCUCUUGUGCUCACUGAAAAACUUCAUCUGUUUAAGAACACAGGGUAUAGGAGUGGGGUAGCUCAACUAGAAUGGGGAAAGGGAAAAUUAAAGGUAUGCUAAAAUAGGUGUGGUAUGGGACUUUAACACCAAGAUGUUUGUGUACUGCUCCACUGAAGACCAACCUGAGGAGUGGCAAUUUAUCAGCUUACAGUAUAUGCUUCCUGAGACUGAGAACAAAGUCCUGCUUCCCUACAAAAUAAUCUGUGUUGUACCUUCCAGCAGCUGGGUCUGGGCAUGUCCUGGGUACAUCCUGAUGUCAGUAUAGGUAUAUUCAGCCUUUACACUUUGCUGAGAUAUGCAGUGAUCACAUGCUUUAAACAGACUGUUGAUGAUUCAGUGUGUUGAAACCUAUUAUUGAUAUUGCAUGGUACAAUAGAGCCCUGGAUUCUGUGACUAGCAUCCAAGUUGCACAGUGAUGCCUACCAGUGUGUGCUGGGGGUGGUGGGCUGUUCAGAGAGCUUGGUUACAGGAGGGGGAGUAACCAAGUUAGUUCCUAUGGAAACUCAAGACGUUUUUGUAUCAAAUUGCUUCUGGCUGUCAGUUACAUCUCUGUAUAUGAGGAGGUAUCUUACGCAGAUCAUGAUAUUUUCUUCUGCAUCAGCUGUGCCCAAAAUAAACUAGAACUUGCUGGUGUCGGGUA